GACCCGUCUUGAACCACGGAGUCUAGCAUGUACGCAAGUCAUUGGGAAUAAUAUGUAUUUUUUCAUCGGAAUAUAUAUGAUAUUUUAUGAAACCCAAAGGCGUAAUGAAAGUAAAUGGUUAAUUAUUGGCUUCACGGCCUUUAGUUGUUAAAAAUCAUAAGGGAGGAUAUAUUUAAAUUAUGUAUUAAAUGUCGCACUCCCGGGGCGUCUUAUAUUUAUUCUUUUAUAUUUUUAUCAAUAUUGAAAUGAAUAAGAGUCGCACCUAGAGCGUACACGCUGGGACCCGAAAGAUGGUGAACUAUGCCUGGUCAGGACGAAGUCAGGGGAAACCCUGAUGGAGGUCCGUAGCGAUUCUGACGUGCAAAUCGAUCGUCGGAACUGGGUAUAGGGGCGAAAGACUAAUCGAACCAUCUAGUAGCUGGUUCCUUCCGA
rnacentral:rRNA from 1 species